CCCGGGUACCCUGCAACAUAAGUCAGAGGUUUAGCGGAGGUGAGGACAAGAAUUUGUCAGUAUCAAGAGAGUGGCCAGGACGUAGGCUGCAGCCUGGCUCAAACUUCCCCGAGCACUCUCACUCUGCGGAAAACAAGACAGGUGAUCAGACUGCCCAGGUAGACCGGGGAGUAUGCUACUUACAGGAAGUAGGUCUGCAGUGUCUGUUCCCUCCUCAUCCAAGACAAGAGGUCUUCCCGGCUUCUGCGGACCCCAAAGGGUGCCCAGAUCGUGGCUCCACCGCGCUGGGGGGCUCGUCCCCGGGAAGGUCUUCUCAAGGAAUCCCCUGUGAACAGAAGCGGAGAUGAGUACGAGGCGCAUGAGACCCGUAAAGCUGGCCUUACCUUUCGAGAGAGAGGACUCCACUUCGCCUGGUCAACAGUUAGGAGCAGCACCUCUCAGGUGUUAGGCAGCUCGCAUCUGCCCCGAGUGGUCCGCUGCAGCUCUUUUUAUUUCGGGCCGCCCCUCAAGUCGCAGCUGAUGGGAUAGACUGGAGGGAGAGUCUCACCCUCAGCAGCGCCCUCCCCCUGGCUCAGGUUCUCGGUGGCUGAUUCGGCGUCCUCGCCUGCGACCUGUUCGCGUGGAGAAUCUUCAUUUUAUUGCUAAAGCUGAUCUUUUGUCGCGCCCGCCAUCAAAACCCC